GAGAACUGGAGCAGUGGUGGCAGCAGGUGGAGCGUCUCAUGGGGGAGCUCCGGAAGGAGGAAAGGGGUGAGCAUGCCCUGGGGCUGCACGUCCCUGCUUAAGAUCAGGACUGGCCCUUCCAGGCCAAGGACCCCAACACAGACCCCAGGGUAGGGCCCCAAGGAUCCCAAGCUCGUGAGUGCAGCUGGCUGGGAUGCCCCAAGAGAGCCUAAAAGAAACUCGUUGUUGAGCUGGCAUUGCUGUUUCUUCUAGACUGCUCUCUAAAGUGGGCAGCAACGUGACCUCGGGUAAGUCUGUAAGACACUCGGUUCCAGAUAGGCCUGUCAUUAGCAGCACUGGUAGCGACCGGCCGGCUCCGAUGGUGAUGUCCCACAGCCAAGGGUUGGGGGUGGGGAGAGUCUCCACAGAGCUUGGAAGAAGCUGCUGAGAUGGAAGCGUGGAAACUUGGCAGGCAGAUCCAGCCUCCCUGGCCGCUGGCCCAUGCUCGUGGCUCCCGGAUGGCGCUGCCUGUAUUCCGGGCAGCUCGGGACAGGUGGAGAUCAGGACUGGCAGCUGCAAGGCAGACCAGAGACACAGAAACUAAAGGGAAUUUCCAGGAGGAGGCUAUGGUGAAGUCUCUGAUGAUGCAAAGAAGACAAGGAGAAUGAAAAUCCACUGGCAGCCUGAUUGUAUGUGUUGACCUUAAGGAGAGUGAUUUUAUGGCACAGCCUCUCUGGAAGGUACAGUAUGUUUGCUCACAGUAUGUAAAUACCAUUUGGCCCAGUGACCUUUCUGCUACGGGUUUAUCCUACAGAUAAACUUAGAGUGCUGAUCAAAUAGGUGAGUUCAAGGAUAUCCUCUGAAGCAUUGCUAUAGUGAAAAAAAGAUUGUAGAUAACCUCAAACGGCAUCAUUAGGGGCCUAGUAAAAUAAAUUCCGCACAGGGGAAUACCGUGUAGCUCUUUAGAGAAUAAGCAGCUCUCUACAUGUGA